UUCUCCAAAAAUAAAUAAAUAAAUUAAAGGCUUGGACAACCAUCAAUUCUUGAGCUAAUAUUUGAGUAUAAGUUAGGCUCAUAAACUUAUUAUUUAAAGCAACAAUGGAAACAUGUAUCUCUUGUGCAUGUAUUUUGUUUUAGAAUGAUGUUGGCACGUAAGUUUACACUAACCUUAUUGUCGUCCACAAUUUCUUUUUGCUUUAUCCUUACUUUCGGAAUGUCAACCUGAAUCUUGUAUGUCAUAUAAAAGAAUAAAUUGUCUUAUAUGAUGUGGGUCAUAGUGUCUGAUAAAAAGAGCUCAAGUGUCAAUAUAUCCGAGUUUGAUCUCACUAACCAUAAGAACCGAACCGUGAACACCGUCACUAGCGACUUUAGAUUCUUCACAUGAAAUAAUUGGUGAUUUCACAUCUAAUGUUUCCUGCAAUAAAGAAAUAUACAUACAAAAGCCCAGUGUAAGAUCGAAUUGUCUUAAUUGUAAAGUCACUCAUAAGAAUCACAUAAUGAUUUCAUUGUACAUGUACACAUUGGGGAAUCAAAAUUUGUGUGAUGGACAUACGGUAAGUAUCAGGACUUUCGUGACGUACAAAAAUGAUAAGAAUGAAGAUCAUGAUAAAUUUCAGAGAACAAGGUCACCGCGAAAUACAAAAAUUACAAGAAUGAAGAGCAUUGUUAUUUA
rnacentral:lncRNA from 1 species